CCUACGGGUGGCUGCAGUGGGGAAUAUUGCACAAUGGGGGAAACCCUGAUGCAGCGACGCCGCGUGAAGGAUGAAGUAUUUCGGUAUGUAAACUUCUAUCAGCAGGGAAGAAAAUGACGGUACCUGACUAAGAAGCCCCGGCUAACUACGUGCCAGCAGCCGCGGUAAUACGUAGGGGGCAAGCGUUAUCCGGAUUUACUGGGUGUAAAGGGAGCGUAGACGGUAUGGCAAGUCUGAUGUGAAAACCCGGGGCUCAACCCCGGGACUGCAUUGGAAACUGUUGAACUGGAGUACAGGAGAGGUAAGCGGAAUUCCUAGUGUAGCGGUGAAAUGCGUAGAUAUUAGGAGGAACACCAGUGGCGAAGGCGGCUUACUGGACUGUAACUGACGUUGAGGCUCGAAAGCGUGGGGAGCAAACAGGAUUAGAUACCCGGGUAGUC
rnacentral:rRNA from 1 species